rnacentral:rRNA from 1 species
GUAGGCUGAAACNCGCCUACAUGAAGCUGGAAUUGCUAGUAAUCACAGGUCAGCAUACUGUGGUGAAUACGUUCCCGGGCCUUGUACACACCGCCCGUCACACCAUGAGAGUUGAGAAUACCCGAAGCCCAUGUCAAAGUGGUCGAAGGUAGGCUUGAUGAUUGGGGUGAAGUCGUAACAAGGUAAC